rnacentral:rRNA from 1 species
GAUGAACGCUGGCGGCGUGCUUAACACAUGCAAGUCGAACGAAGCACUUUAUUUGAUUUCCUUCGGGACUGAUUAUUUUGUGACUGAGUGGCGGACGGUUGAGUAACGCGUGGGUAACCUGCCUUGUACAGGGGGAUAACAGUUGGAAACGGCUGCUAAUACCGCAUAAGCGCACAGCAUCGCAUGAUGCAGUGUGAAAAAUUCCGGUGGUAUAAGAUGGACCCGCGUUGGAUUAGCUAGUUGGUGAGGUAACGGCCCACCAAGGCGACGAUCCAUAGCCGACCUGAGAGGGUGACCGGCCACAUUGGGACUGAGACACGGCCCAGACUCCUACGGGAGGCAGCAGUGGGGAAUAUUGCACAAUGGGCGAAAGCCUGAUGCAGCGACGCCGCGUGAGCGAAGAAGUAUUUCGGUAUGUAAAGCUCUAUCAGCAGGGAAGAUAAUGACGGUACCUGACUAAGAAGCACCGGCUAAAUACGUG